UACUCUCGGCAUUGGAUAUCUUAGCUCUUGCAUCAUGAAGAACGUAGUGAAAUGCGAUACUUGGUGUGAAAUGCAGAAUCCCGUGAACCAUCGAUUCUUUGAAUGCAUGUUGCGCCCGAAGCCAUUAGGCCGAGGGCACGCAAGCCUGGGUGUUG
rfam:Lupinus angustifolius cultivar Tanjil chromosome LG20, whole genome shotgun sequence.